UACAGAGGUCUCAAGCGUUGUUCGGAUUCAUUGGGCGUAAAGGGUGCGUAGGCGGCGCGGUAAGUCGGGUGUGAAAUCCCUCGGCUCAACCAAGGAAGUGCAUCCGAAACUGCUGUGCUUGAGUACUUAAGAGGAUCGCGGAAUUCCCGGUGUAGAGGUGAAAUUCGUAGAUAUCGGGAGGAACACCAGUGGCGAAGGCGGCGAUCUGGGAAGAUACUGACGCUGAGGUGCGAAAGCGUGGGGAGCAAACAGG
rnacentral:rRNA from 1 species